CGGCAGGCUAAUACAUGCAAGUCGAGGGCAGCACGGGUAGCAAGUACCUGGUGGCGACCGGCAAACGGUGCGGAACACGUACGCAACUUUCCCAAAACUGGUGAAUAGCCCUCCGAAAGGAGGAUUAAUACACCGUAACAUAAUGAAGUGGCAUCACUUUAUUAUUAUAGCUCCGGCGGUUUUGGAUGGGCGUGCGCCUGAUUAGGUAGUUGGCGGGGUAACGGCCCACCAAGCCUUCGAUCAGUAACUGGUGUGAGAGCACGACCAGUCACACGGGCACUGAGACACGGGCCCGACUCCUACGGGAGGCAGCAGUAAGGAAUAUUGGUCAAUGGACGCAAGUCUGAACCAGCCAUGCCGCGUGAAGGAUGAAGGUCCUCUGGAUUGUAAACUUCUUUUAUCUGGGACGAAAAAAGGGAAUUCUUUCUCACUUGACGGUACCAGAGGAAUAAGCACCGGCUAACUCCGUG
rnacentral:rRNA from 1 species